UCCUGCUGGGAUAGCUCAGGUGGUAGAGCAUCAGACUUUUAAUUUCAGGGUCGUGUGUUUGAGCCCCACAUUGGGAA